rnacentral:rRNA from 1 species
UACGAAGGGGGCUAGCGUUGUUCGGAAUCACUGGGCGUAAAGCGCACGUAGGCGGAUCUUUAAGUCAGGGGUGAAAUCCCGAGGCUCAACCUCGGAACUGCCUUUGAUACUGGGGAUCUCGAGUCCGGGAGAGGUGAGUGGAACUGCGAGUGUAGAGGUGAAAUUCGUAGAUAUUCGCAAGAACACCGGUGGCGAAGGCGGCAUCCUGGACCGAGAUUGACGCUGAGGCGCGAAAGCCAGGGGAGCAAAGCGGG